rnacentral:tRNA from 1 species
UGGGCCGUUAGCUCAGUUGGUAGAGCAGCUGACUUUUAAUCAGCGGGUCGCAGGUUCGAAUCCUGCACGGCUCACCA